AAUUGGACUAGCUGUCAAAAUAGUUCUUUGCAAUGUGCUGGUCCAUAUAGAAGCGGCCUUUUCAUUUUUCAGUCGUUUUUCAACAAAAUUGGCAAGCUUCUUUGCAUAGAGCUCCCCAGUUUCACUUAUCGCAGUGUCACCACCAAUUCUGCCUCUAACAUUGUACAAACUCUCUCCAUGCCUUGUUAGCAAAAUUGGACGG
rnacentral:misc_RNA from 1 species